UACGAAGGGGCUAGCGUUGCUCGGAAUCACUGGGCGUAAAGCGCACGUAGGCGGAUCUUUAAGUCAGGGGUGAAAUCCUGGAGCUCAACUCCAGAACUGCCUUUGAUACUGGGGAUCUCGAGUCCGGAAGAGGUGAGUGGAACUGCGAGUGUAGAGGUGAAAUUCGUAGAUAUUCGCAAGAACACCAGUGGCGAAGGCGGCUCACUGGCCCGGUACUGACGCUGAGGUGCGAAAGCGUGGGGAGCAAACAGG
rnacentral:rRNA from 1 species